rnacentral:rRNA from 1 species
AUUGAACGCUGGCGGCAGGCCUAACACAUGCAAGUCGAGCGGAGCGGCGGACGGGUGAGUAAUGCCUCGGAAUCUGCCUGGUAGUGGGGGAUAACGUCCGGAAACGGUCACUAAUACCGCAUACUAUCAGAUGGGCCUAGGUCGGAUUAGCUAGUUGGUGGGGUAAAGGCCUACCAAGGCGACGAUCCGUAACUGGUCUGAGAGGAUGAUCAGUCACACUGGAACUGAGACACGGCCCAGACUCCUACGGGAGGCAGCAGUGGGGAAUAUUGGACAAUGGGGGCAAGCCUGAUACAGCCAUGCCGCGUGUAUGAAGAAGGCCUUCGGGUUGUAAAGUACUUUCAGCAGGGAGGCGGUACCGGCAGAAGAAGCACCGGCUAACUCCGUGCCAGCAGCCGCGGUAAUAC